GACGAACGCUGGCGGCGUGCUUAACACAUGCAAGUCGAACGGAAAGGCCCCUUUGGGGGUACUCGAGUGGCGAACGGGUGAGUAACACGUGAGUAACCUGCCCUUGACUUCGGGAUAACUUCAGGAAACUGGGGCUAAUACCGGAUAGGAAUCCUUGCUGCAUGGUGGGGGUUGGAAAGCUUCGGCGGUUUUGGAUGGACUCGCGGCUUAUCAGCUUGUUGGUGGGGUAGUGGCUUACCAAGGCUUUGACGGGUAGCCGGCCUGAGAGGGCGACCGGCCACAUUGGGACUGAGAUACGGCCCAGACGCCUACGGGAGGCAGCAGGGGGGAAUAUUGCACAAUGGGCGGAAGCCGGAUGCAGCAACGCCGCGUGCGGGAGGACGGCCUUCGGGUUGGAAACCGCUUUCAGCAGGGGCGAAGCUUGUGGUGACGGUACCUGCAGAAGAAGCACCGGCUAACUACGUG
rnacentral:rRNA from 1 species